CACCAAUCACGGGGGUCAUCUCCUGCGCAAGCUUUGGAUGAACUUCUGCUUCUGCGGUCGGCAUUCUUACAGGAGAACCCAAGAUUCAUUGUACCUACCUGUAUGCAUUUCAAAACUGAAUAAUUGAUAGCAACAAGUAAAUAUUUGAAGUUGCAGCCAAAUGCUGUGCCUUCUCUGCUGCAAGAGCUACAUGUCACCAUUGAAGCAAGGACCAGCUCGACUCCUGCAGUAGGAGUCCAGCCUCGUCCAGUCGUCGCCGCUCGCCAAG
rnacentral:lncRNA from 1 species